rnacentral:rRNA from 1 species
GUGGGGAAUAUUGGACAAUGGGCGAAAGCCUGAUCCAGCCAUGCCGCGUGUGUGAAGAAGGUCUUCGGAUUGUAAAGCACUUUAAGUUGGGAGGAAGGGCAGUAAGUUAAUACCUUGCUGUUUUGACGUUACCGACAGAAUAAGCACCGGCUAACUUCGUGCCAGCAGCCGCGGUAAUACGAAGGGUGCAAGCGUUAAUCGGAAUUACUGGGCGUAAAGCGCGCGUAGGUGGUUCAGUAAGUUGGAAGUGAAAUCCCCGGGCUCAACCUGGGAACUGCCUCCAAAACUGCAUGACUAGAGUACGGUAGAGGGUAGUGGAAUUUCCUGUGUAGCGGUGAAAUGCGUAGAUAUAGGAAGGAACACCAGUGGCGAAGGCGACUACCUGGACUGAUACUGACACUGAGGUGCGAAAGCGUGGGGAGCAAACAGGAUUAGAAACCCGGGUAGUCC